rnacentral:rRNA from 1 species
UGGUGGAGUGAUUUGUCUGGUUAAUUCCGAUAACGAACGAGACUCUGGCCUACUAAAUAGACGGCGGAUCUUUGUGUCCGUUCUGUCUUCUUAGAGGGAUAAGGCAGCUCGAAGCUGCGUGAAAAGGGGCAAUAACA